GCAAGUCGAACGCCGAACCGCCUUCGGGUGGGGAGGAGUGGCGAACGGGUGAGUAACACGUGGGCAAUCUGCCCUGCACUCUGGGAUAACUCCGGGAAACCGGAGCUAAUACCGGAUACGACUCUCCAGGGCAUCCUGGGGGGUGGAAAGCUCCGGCGGUGCAGGAUGAGCCCGCGGCCUAUCAGCUGGUUGGUGGGGUGAUGGCCUACCAAGGCGACGACGGGUAGCCGGCCUGAGAGGGCGACCGGCCACACUGGGACUGAGACACGGCCCAGACUCCUACGGGAGGCAGCAGUGGGGAAUAUUGCACAAUGGGCGCAAGCCUGAUGCAGCGACGCCGCGUGAGGGAUGACGGCCUUCGGGUUGUAAACCUCUUUCAGCAGGGAAGAAGCGCGAGUGACGGUACCUGCAGAAGAAGCACCGGCUAACUACGUGCCAGCAGCCGCGGUAAUACGUAGGGUGCGAGCGUUGUCCGGAAUUAUUGGGCGUAAAGAGCUCGUAGGCGGCCUGUCGCGUCGGAUGUGAAAGCCCGGGGCUUAACCCCGGGUCUGCAUUCGAUACGGGCAGGCUAGAGUUCGGUAGGGGAGAUCGGAAUUCCUGGUGUAGCGGUGAAAUGCGCAGAUAUCAGGAGGAACACCGGUGGCGAAGGCGGAUCUCUGGGCCGAUACUGACGCUGAGGAGCGAAAGCGU
rnacentral:rRNA from 1 species